GCAAGUCGAGGGGCAGCACAGGUAGCAAUACCGGGUGGCGACCGGCGCACGGGUGAGUAACGCGUAUGCAACUUACCUAUCAGAGGGGGAUAACCCGGCGAAAGUCGGACUAAUACCGCAUGAAGCAGGGGCCCCGCAUGGGGAUAUUUGCUAAAGAUUCAUCGCUGAUAGAUAGGCAUGCGUUCCAUUAGGCAGUUGGCGGGGUAACGGCCCACCAAACCGACGAUGGAUAGGGGUUCUGAGAGGAAGGUCCCCCACAUUGGUACUGAGACACGGACCAAACUCCUACGGGAGGCAGCAGUGAGGAAUAUUGGUCAAUGGGCGUAAGCCUGAACCAGCCAAGUCGCGUGAGGGAUGAAGGUUCUAUGGAUCGUAAACCUCUUUUAUAAGGGAAUAAAGUGCGGGACGUGUCCCGUUUUGUAUGUACCUUAUGAAUAAGGAUCGGCUAACUCCGUGCCAGCAGCCCCGGUAAUA
rnacentral:rRNA from 1 species